rnacentral:rRNA from 1 species
AUUAAAGAUUUUGGCGGUAUUUUAGUCCAUUCAGAGGAACCUGUCCUGUAAUUGAUAAUCCACGAUUUAAUUUACUUGUUUUUUUAGUUUGUAUAUCGUCGUGGGUUGAAUAUUUUAUAAGAAUUAUAAUGUUCAAUAAAUAUAAACUUAUUUUAUGUCAGAUCAAGGUGCAGCUUAUGAAUAAGAAGAGAUGGGUUACAAUAAAAUUAUUUUUGGUUUAUUAGCUUUAAUGUUUUUAGUAAAUUGGAUUUGAAUGUAAUAUUUUUAAAUUUAUAGAUGUGAUUUUGGCUCUAAAAUAUGCACAUAUUGCCCGUCGCUCUCAUUUAAUAUGAGAUAAGUCGUAACAAAGUAGAUGUACUGGAAAGUGUAUCUAGAAAGAU